rnacentral:rRNA from 1 species
GACGAACGCUGGCGGCGUGCUUAACACAUGCAAGUCGAACGGUAAGGCUCCAGCUUUCUGGGGUACACGAGUGGCGAACGGGUGAGUAACACGUGGGUGACCUGCCCUGCACUUCGGGAUAAGCCUGGGAAACUGGGUCUAAUACCGGAUAGGACCAUGGUGUGGAUACUGUGGUGGAGAGUUUUUUCGGUGUGGGAUGGGCCCGCGGCCUAUCAGCUUGUUGGUGGGGUAAUGGCCUACCAAGGCGGCGACGGGUAGCCGGCCUGAGAGGGUGGACGGCCACAAUGGGACUGAGACACGGACCAGACUGCUACGGGAGGCAGCAGUGGGGAAUAUUGCACAAUGGGCGGAAGCCUGAUGCAGCGACGCCGCGUGGGGGAUGACGGGCUUCGGGUUGUAAAAUCCUUUCACCAUCGACGAAGGGUUUCUGACGGUAGAUGGAGAAGAAGCACCGGCUAACUACGUG